UACGUAGGGUGCGAGCGUUUAAUCGGAAUUACUGGGCGUAAAGCGUGCGCAGGCGGUUUUGUAAGCCAGAUGUGAAAUCCCCGGGCUCAACCUGGGAAUUGCGAUGGAGACUGCAAGGCUAGAAUCUGGCAGAGGGGGGUAGAAUUCCACGUGUAGCAGUGAAAUGCGUAGAGAUGUGGAGGAACACCGAUGGCGAAGGCAGCCCCCUGGGUCAAGAUUGACGCUCAUGCACGAAAGCGUGGGGAGCAAACGAGGAU
rnacentral:rRNA from 1 species